GUCACAUAGGAGUGAGGAAUUGGUGGGAGGAAGCUGGGACAUGAUGUAAUAUGCCUUUUGUUUCCAGAGAGACAGAGGUGGUAGUUUGGCUGGGCAGGGAGCCUUGCUUUACCCCAUUGCUUGUGUUAACUCACACCUUCUUGUUUCCUCUCCUGUCCUUUUCCCCCAGCCUUUGGCUAUGGGCUGCUUUGUCUAGGAAUGGCCUAUAUUUCCUCCCAGAUGGGACCUGUACUGCAGGCAGCAAUCAGCAUCUUUGGCAUGGUUGGGGGACCGCUGCUGGGACUCUUCUGCCUUGGAAUGUUCUUUCCAUGUGCCAACCCUCCUGUGAGUGAUGCAUCUGGAUCCAUAGUCACGUGCAGCAGGAUGGACCUGGGGGUUGGCAGGGCUGUCACCAGGAGAGCUGAGGACUGCCGUGAGGGCUGGCAGGACUGGCCUUGUGACAGGCAUGCACUGUGUCUCGGCAGGGUGCUGUUGUGGGCCUGUUGGCUGGACUCGUCAUGGCCUUCUGGAUCGGCAUCGGGAGCAUCGUGACCAGCAUGGGCUCCAGCAUGCCACCCUCUCCCUCUAAUGGGUCCAGCUUCUCCCUGCCCACCAAUCUAACCGUUGCCACUGUGACCACACUGAUGCCCUUGACUACCUUCUCCAAGUAAGGCGGGGCUUGCUGUCUUCUUGUUUUCUCAAAGCCCUCCUUUGAGGGCUUUCACAGGGGUCUUGCUGAGGGAUGGGCCACCAGAGGCCCCAGGGAAAUGUUGGGUAUUGGGUCCCAAGACCCUGGGACCAUGCGGGCAAGUAGAGAUUGGUGCCCAAGGAAUGCCCUGCCAACGAAUUGCUAAUUGUCCUCACCUCUGCUCUUCCCAGGCCCACAGGGCUGCGGCGGUUCUAUUCCUUGUCUUACUUAUGGUACAGUGCUCACAACUCCACCACAGUCAUUGUGGUGGGCUUGAUUGUCAGUCUACUCACUGGUAAGGGUGUGGGAUCGUGGUGCAGAUGAGCACCGAGGGGUUAACAGAGGGCCCUAAGGGACUCUACUGUCUAGGGAGAAAGACUCCUGCCCUCUGAGCUCUUGGGUGUCCAUAGCUGUCAGGCUUUUCUGUUGGGAUGUAGGAGGUGGGUCGGGGCUGGGGUCUCUGGGGGCCAAGGGAGGACAUGGGGCCCGCUGCUGUAGAUGGUUCCACCCAGAGACUCAGAAGCACAUUUCCAUUCAGGGAGAAUGCAAGGCCGGUCCCUGAACCCUGCGACCAUUUACCCAGUGUUGCCGAAGCUCCUGGCCCUCCUGCCCUUGUCCUGUCAGAAGCGGCUCCACUGCAGGAGCUAUGGCCAGGACCACCUCAUGGACACUGGCCUGUUUCCUGAGAAGCCGAGGAAUGGUGUGCUGGGGGACAGCAGAGACAAGGAGGCCAUGGCCCUGAAUGGCACAGCCUAUCAGGGGAGCAGCUCCACCUGCAUCCUCCAGGAGACCUCCCUGUGAUGUUGACUCAGAACCCCACCUCUGUCCUCACUGUGCCAGGCCAUAGCCAGACGCCACCCUGUAGUACAGGGAUGAGUCUUGGUGUGUUCUGCAGGGACAGGCCUGGAUGAUCUAGCUCAUACCAAAGGAACUUGUUCUGAGAGGUUCUUGCCUGCAGGAGAAGCUGUCACAUCUCAAGCAUGUGAGGCACCGUUUUUCUCGUUGCUUGCCAAUCUGUUUUUUAAAGGAUCAGGCUCGUAGGGAGCAGGAUCAUGCCAGAAAUAGGGAUAGAAGUACAUCCUCUGGGAAAAAGAUAAUGGCUUCUGAUUCAACAUAGCCAGAGUCCUUUGAAGUAAGAGGCUAGAAACAGCACUCUGGUUAUAACUGCCCCAGGGCCUGAUUCAGGACUGACUCUCCACCAUAAAACUGGAAGCUGCUUCCCCUGUAGUCCCCAUUUCAGUACCAGUUCUGCCAGCCACAGUGAGCCCCUAUUACUUUCAGAUUGUCUGUGACACUCAAGCCCCUCUCAUUUUUAUUUGUCUACCUCCAUUCUGAAGAGGGAGGUUUUGGUAUCCCUGGGCCUCUGGGAAUAGAAAGUCUGUUUGUCUCCUUUGUGUAGAGCAAGCACGUUUUCCACCUCACUGUCUCCAUCCUCCACCUCUGAGAUGGACACUUAGAGAGGGGGCAAAUGUGGAUCCAAGAAACCAGGGCCAUGACCGGGUCCACUGUGGAGCAGCCAUCUAUCUACCCGACUCCUGAGCCAGGCUGCCAUGGUGUCAUGUCUGUCAUCCGUGCUCUGUUUCCUUUUGGAGUUACUUCUCCACAUAUCUUUGUUCCUGGGGAAUAAAAACUACCAUUGGACCUAGAA
rnacentral:sRNA from 1 species